GUUUCCUGUCUUUUGUUCAGGUGUGUCGUAAGAAGUCGCGCUCUGAAGCAGCCAGAGGCGUUUUGACGAUCUCCCGAUAGCCCUCGAACCUUAUACAGCAUUGAGAGGGGCAGACACUGAAAGAGAAGAGAAGAGUCGGGCUGCUGGCACUGAUCAGGACUCUCAGAGGAAGCAGGAGGUUACAAGGAUGUGUGACCCCACCCUGUACCGUUCACUCUGCGAGCGAGCUGUCGCGUCUUAAAACUUCCUCUAAUGCCCGUAAAUGGACGUGUUAGUCUGAAGUGCACUUGUUUUGGAGUGGUAAUUGAGUGAUUUGUGCCGUGUCUCUUUGCUGUCUAGGGAAGGUAAGACAGAUUAUGGAGUUAUUAGUGAUUUUUCUGCUGUCUUCAGAUGUGUUUUUCUGCCUGUGGCUUUUGACCUGAUGGUUUCUGGUCACAUGACAGGCGGACUGAGAGCAGGGUGGUUCCCCGUCUCUUUUACGCCUGCCCGCUAAUUCUCACAGAGCAGCCUUAAAGGGCCGGAUAUGGGUUUAUGUUUUCCUUAUGUUGCGAGAUGGAGAGAGUGGGGGAAGUGUGCUUGAGUAAGUGAGCGCUCGGAUCCUAAACGCUAACAUAGGGUGAUUUUGUUUUUGCAUUUGAAAAGGUUUGAUGAGGAUGUUGUUACCAUAAAUGGCCAUUGUGUUGGUCUCUCUUUCCUGUCUUAUCUUUAGAGACCAGAGCUGAUGUUGGGGUUCAGAUUUCACUCAGUGACUAGUUAACUGUAAUCUGAUUUAGUUCAGGUUCAGUACAGAAUGACAGUGAGGUUGAGACUUUGAACGACGCUGGUCAUUUCUCCUUUAAAGUCAAGUGCUUUCUGGUGAAAGCCUUUAGGAAUGUUUCUG
rnacentral:lncRNA from 1 species